AUGCAAGUCGAACGGGAAAUAUUUCAUUGAGACUUCGGUGGAUUUGAUCUAUUUCUAGUGGCGGACGGGUGAGUAACGCGUGGGUAACCUGCCUUAUACAGGGGGAUAACAGUCAGAAAUGGCUGCUAAUACCGCAUAAGCGCACAGAGCUGCAUGGCUCAGUGUGAAAAACUCCGGUGGUAUAAGAUGGACCCGCGUUGGAUUAGCUAGUUGGUGGGGUAACGGCCCACCAAGGCGACGAUCCAUAGCCGGCCUGAGAGGGUGAACGGCCACAUUGGGACUGAGACACGGCCCAGACUCCUACGGGAGGCAGCAGUGGGGAAUAUUGCACAAUGGGGGAAACCCUGAUGCAGCGACGCCGCGUGAAGGAAGAAGUAUCUCGGUAUGUAAACUUCUAUCAGCAGGGAAGAUAGUGACGGUACCUGACUAAGAAGCCCCGGCUAACUACGUGCCAGCAGCCGCGGUAAUACGUAGGGGGCAAGCGUUAUCCGGAUUUACUGGGUGUAAAGGGAGCGUAGACGGUGUGGCAAGUCUGAUGUGAAAGGCAUGGGCUCAACCUGUGGACUGCAUUGGAAACUGUCAUACUUGAGUGCCGGAGGGGUAAGCGGAAUUCCUAGUGUAGCGGUGAAAUGCGUAGAUAUUAGGAGGAACACCAGUGGCGAAGGC
rnacentral:rRNA from 1 species